rnacentral:lncRNA from 1 species
AUCCUCUAAAUCACUCUGGUGACAAACAAACUUUGCUUCCCUGUUUCCAAUUGUCCACAAGGCUGGGUGAACCUAUUCAAGUAAUUAAAUACAUUUCGAAAAUGUAAAAUAAACAAUGUAUUAUUACCUAACUAGCUACAGUGCAGGCUAACUCAAAUGAGCUGCUAAAUGAGCUAGGCUAGCUAGCUAUCUAGCCAACUUCACAUACUGUAUAGAUAGGUAGCUGGUGAUAUUUCAUUAUUAAGGUAGCUAACUUCAUAUUAGCUAGUUAUCUAUAUGUAUUUAUCACUGUAUAAAACAAACUCCAAAUGCAUUUCUAGGUAGCUAGCUAAGAGCCACGGAGAAGGAUGAAAGGAUAAUAGCCCCAACUGUCAAAAUGAGAGAGUAGGCUAUUCUGGAUAGGGCAGGUACUUUUGUGUAAUUCCUAUCCCUAGAAGUAUGGACGGAGAUAAUGGUAACAUACUAACAGUGCAGUGUAAUUUCAGUAUAAUGAAGUCUGUUGUGAGGUUUUCUCUUUAGAUUUAUUUUAUUUAUUUCACCUUUAUUUAACCAGGUAGGCAAGUUGAGAACAAGUUCUCAUUUACAAUUGCGACCUGGCCAAGAUAAAGCAAAGCCGUUCGACAUAUACAACAACACAGAGUUACACAUGGAGUAAAACAAACAUACAGUCAAUAAUACAGUAGAAAAAUAAGUCUAUAUACAAUGUGAGCAAAUGAGGUGAGAUAAGGGAGGUAAAGGCAAAAGGCCAUGGUGGCAAAGUAAAUACAAUAUAGCAAGUAAAACACUGGAAUGGUAGAUUUGUAGUGGAAGAAAGUGCAAAGUAGAAAUAGACAUAAUGGGGUGCAAAGGAGCAAAAUAAAUAAAUACAGUAGGGGAAGAGGUAGUUGUUAGGGCUAAAUUAUAGAUGGGCUAUGUACAGGUGCAGUGAUCUGUGAGCUGCUCUGACAGAUGGUGCUUAAAGCUAGUGAGGGAGAUAAGUGUUUCCAGUUUCAGAGAUUUUUGUAGUUCGUUCCAGUCAUUGGCAGCGGAGAACUGUAAGGAGAGACGGCCAAAGGAGGAAUUGGCUUUUGGGGGGACCAGAGAGAUAUACCUGCUGGAGCGCGUGCUACAGUUGGAGGCCACGGAAGGAGAGUUGUAUGGCAUUGAAGCUCGUCUGGAGGGUAGUUAACACAGUGUCCAAAGAAGGGCCAGAAGCAGAAUGGUGUCGUCUGCGUAGAGGUGGAUCAAAGACUCACCAGCAGCAAGAGCGACAUCAUUGAUGUAUACAGAGAAAAGAGUUGGCCCAAGAAUUGAACCCUGUGGCACCCCCAUAGAGACUACCAGAGGCCCGGACAACAGGCCCUCCGAUUUGACACAUUGAACUCUAGAUAAAGAGAGCUAUGACAGCCUGUCUACAUAUGAAGAGGUCCCAAUGAAGAGCAGCGGUUCUCAGUCCUGGUCCUGGGAACUCAAAGAGUUACCUUGUAACUGGAGAUUCCUUCAAAACGAUUGCCUACAGUUAGUGUAGGACACAGCAAGGUUGGGUGACCAGGGCCAUCUGGGACUGCCUCCUGGAGGAAUUCAGGUGUGUGAAGGCUACCUGUGUUCUGCAUAACUUCCUGAGGAUGGACACAAGGACAAGGAGGGGAUCUGCAGCUCGCCGCUGUGUGCCUGAUGAGAAGUCUGCUGCUCUGCAGGAUGUUUCAAGGAUGGGGUCCAACAACGCAGCAAGAGAAGCAAUCUGUGUGUGGGAGAUAUUCAUCUCCUACUUCUUCAAAGAGGGUGCUGUUCCAUGGCAACACCAUAGACUACACUAUGCACAACCAAAGGCUUUUUUAAGUCAUCCACAUUGCAACAAGAGUAUUAUUCCAUUUACUUAGCUAUGUCAACUGCAGUUAUUCAAUUCUUAGUUUCUCUCCCUUUGAUUUCUACUUCUCAGAAGCUGUAAUGUCUGUACAAAAACAUAACAUGCUAUUUUAAAUCACCCAUAUUGAAAAAAUGUAGAACAAUUAGACACCCUAUAACCCACACCUAAACACUCAUAAUCAGGCUCAUGUGUAUAACUGUGGCUCCUUCCACCUUCAUAUAAUAGGCAAGAAGGCCAACCAUGGAGAAUAGUAAGACACUUAAUUAUUUCUAUAACUACGCUAUAUUGUUUGUGCUUGUGUCCGUUCAUGUUUUUCAGUAUUAAGUACUCUGCAGCCACUUAGUGUGGACACCAGGUGAGGCCACACACAGAUUCCAGUUGAACACCUUUAACUACCCUAUUUUGUCAACUCUCUCCUUCAAUCUUUUCAGUCUCCUGAGGGGGAAUAGGUUUUGUCGUGCCCCCUUCACGGCUGUCUUGGCCUGCUUGGACCAUGUUAGUUUGUUGAUGUGGACGCCAAGGAACUUGAAGCUCUCAACCUGCUCCACUACAGCCCUGUCGAUGAGAAUGGGGGUGUGCUCAGUCCUCCUUUUCCUGUAGUCCACAAUCAUCUCCUUUGUCUUGAUCACGUUGAGGGAGAGGUUGUUGUCCUUCCACCACACGAUCAGGUCUCUUACCUCCUCCCUAUAGGCUGUCUCAUCGUUGUCUGUGUUCAGGCCUACCACUUGUGUCAUCAGCACACUUAAUGAUGGUGUUGGAGUCAUGCCUGGCCGUGCAGUGGACAGGGAGUACAGGAGGGAACUGAGCACACACCCCUGAGGUGCCCCCUUGUUAAGGAUCAGCGUGGUGGAUGUGUUGUUACCUACUCUUACCACCUGGGGGCAGCCUGUCAGGAAGUCCAGGAUCCAGUUGCAGAGGGAGAUGUUUAGUCUCCGGGUCCUUAGCUUGGUGAUGAGCUUUGAGGGCACUAUGGUGUUGAACACAGAACUGUAGUCAAUGAAUAGCAUUCUCACAUAGGUGUUGCUUUUGUCCAGGUGGGAAAGGGCAGUGUGGAGUGCAAUAGAGAUUGCGUCAUCUGUGGAUCUGUUCAUGCAGUAUGCAAAUUGGAGUAGGUCUAGGGUUUCUGGGAUAAUGGUGUUGAUGUGAGCCAUGACCAGCCUUUCAAAGCAUUUCAUGGCUACGGGUUGUUAGUCAUUUAGGCAGGUUACUGUAGUCCCUGUGCCCCAGAACACUAUGGUGGUCUGCUUGAAACAUGUUGGUAUUAGAGACUCAGACAGGGAGAGGUUGAAAAUGUCAGUGAAGACACUUGCCAGUUGGUCAGCACAUGCUGGAAGUACAUGUCCUGGUAAUUCGUCUGGCCCAGCGGCCUUGUGAAUGUUAACAUGUUUAAAAGUCUCUCACAUCGGCUGCCGGAGAGCGUGAUCACAGUCUUCCGGAAUAGCUGAUGCUCUCAUGCAUGUUUAAGUGUUACUUGCCUGGAAGCGAGCAUAGAAGUUAUUUAGCUCGUCUGGUAGGCUCGUGUCACUGGGCAGCUUUCGGCUGUGAUUCCCUUUGUAAUAGUUUGCAAGAACUUCUUUCAAUAAAGUGUUUCACAGUCUCUGCUGGUUGAAAUACUACACUUAUCCUGUGUUUAUCAGAUCAAUGCAGAUGAAGGAAAUGAGUUCUCAUUCUUUCUGUGUAUAUGAAUUAAAAAUCAGCCUUUAACUAGUUAAACCGUUUCUAGUCUAUUAGUUACAAUGUGUAACCAUUGAUGUCUCAGGACCAAGAUUGGUAAACACUGAAGUGUAUAAUUGUAAUACAAACUCAGCAAAAAAAGAAAUGUCCCUUUUCCAGGACCCUGUCUUUCAAAGAUAACUUGUAAAAAUCCCCCCC